AAACCCCAAUGUCGUAACCGACUCGAAAUCCCAUAUCCAAGGUGAUUUUAGGGAGUAUAAACGAGCUCUCCUUAAAACAAAAACAGAAGCAACUAGUUAGAUAUUGAUUGAUGCUAUGAAUUCUGCUGCUUUUUUAAGAUAAAAAAUAUUAAAUGUAAAACAAGAAGAAACACAUCUUGUAGCUUGACAGUUGAGAGAAAACAUUUCAAAAUCCCCCGAAUGUGCUAAUGUUGGUGACUU